rnacentral:rRNA from 1 species
AACGAACGCUGGCGGCAGGCCUAACACAUGCAAGUCGAGCGAGGACUUCGGUCCUAGCGGCGGACGGGUUAGUAACGCGUGGGAAUAUGCCCAAAGGUACGGAAUAGCCUCUGGAAACGGAGAGUAAUACCGUAUGUGCCCUUUCGGGGGGAAAGAUUUAUCGCCUUUGGAUUAGCCCGCGUUGGAUUAGGUAGUUGGUGGGGUAACGGCCUACCAAGCCGACGAUCCAUAGCUGGUUUGAGAGGAUGAUCAGCAACACUGGGACUGAGACACGGCCCAGACUCCUACGGGAGGCAGCAGUGGGGAAUCUUCGGCAAGGGGCGCAAGCCUGAUGCAGCAACGCCGCGUGAGGGAUGACGGCCUUCGGGUUGUAAACCUCUUUUAGUAGGGAAGAAGCCGUAAGGUGACGGUACCUGCAGAAAAAGCACCGGCUAACUACGUGCCAGCAGCCGCGGUAAUACGUAGGGUGCAAGCGUUGUCCGGAAUUAUUGGGCGUAAAGAGCUCGUAGGCGGUUUGUCGCGUCUGCCGUGAAAUCCCGAGGCUCAACUUCGGGCUUGCGGUGGGUACGGGCAGGCUAGAGUGCGGUAGGGGAGAUUGGAAUUCCUGGUGUAGCGGUGGAAUGCGCAGAUAUCAGGAGGAACACCGAUGGCGAAGGCAGAUCUCUGGGCCGUUACUGACGCUGAGGAGCGAAAGCAUGGGGAGCGAACAGGAUUAGAUACCCUGGUAGUCCAUGCCGUAAACGUUGGGAACUAGAUGUAGGGCCUGUUCCACGGGUUCUGUGUCGUAGCUAACGCAUUAAGUUCCCCGCCUGGGGAGUACGGCCGCAAGGCUAAAACUCAAAGGAAUUGACGGGGGCCCGCACAAGCGGCGGAGCAUGCGGAUUAAUUCGAUGCAACGCGAAGAACCUUACCAAGGCUUGACAUAUACGAGAACGGGUCAGAAAUGAUCAACUCUUUGGACACUCGUAUACAGGUGGUGCAUGGUUGUCGUCAGCUCGUGUCGUGAGAUGUUCGGUUAAGUCCGGCAACGAGCGCAACCCUUGUCCUAUGUUGCCAGCACGUGAUGGUGGGAACUCAUGGGAUACUGCCGUGGUCAACACGGAGGAAGGUGGGGAUGACGUCAAAUCAUCAUGCCCCUUAUGUCUUGGGCUUCACGCAUGCUACAAUGGCCGGUACAAAGGGCUGCGAUACCGUAAGGUGGAGCGAAUCCCAAAAAGCCGGUCUCAGUUCGGAUUGGGGUCUGCAACUCGACCCCAUGAAGUCGGAGUCGCUAGUAAUCGCAGAUCAGCAACGCUGCGGUGAAUACGUUCCCGGGCCUUGCACACACCGCC